rnacentral:sRNA from 1 species
CGGAAGUGCCUUUCUUGGGCUGUUCAGAUUGUGGUGUGGUAACUCCAAUCAUCGCAGCUCAGAGGGCACUUUCCCUAUUGCGACACCCGGUCACCCGGUCAAUUCUUCGGUGGAUCGAG